UUAUUUAUAUUAAUUACGUUUCUACCUACAGAUAAUUACCAAGAUAAGUUGGGUUCUGAAAUGUGUUGACAAAUGUGUUCACAGGUUCCACCCAACCAAACGUUUUGAUAGAGUGCCGUGUUGCUCUCAAAAUCACUUCAACAACCAGAAUGAAUCCAUAUUUGGGGCGCUCCGGAUUACAAGGAGCACUGUCAUGUUUUGAUAUAGAUCAAGACUUUUAAGUGUGCCAUCUUGUGUGGAAAACACAACAACAAAACUGGUCCCGCACAACCACCAGUCAUGACAGCUUUAAGAGAAAAAGAGCUGGAAAACAAGGUGUUGGGACAUACAAGAGCUGUCCAGGCAGACCGGUCUAGGGCGAGUUCUUCCAGCUGUCCCCAUGUUUUCCUCAUGCUCUUGACCCCUGCUUCCAGCUCUCUGCGCCACGUGUUCCUAGGUGUCCCCCUUUUUCUUUUUCCGUGGGUAUUCCAUGUCAGCGCCUGCCUUGUAGAGCUGGAUGCAGGUUUUCUUGGGGUGUCGCCAUCGUCUUUUGGAGACGUCUUCUUCCACUGGUUGCUGCUCCGUCCUCUCCCAUAACUCUUGGUUGCUGAUGAUGUUGGGCCCAGCGAAACAGAUAUAAACAAAUGUAAAAUUCUACGUAGGUCCGUUUAUACUGACAUGUAGUUAAAUACCUCUGAUUGGUGCACGCAUUCCAAAAAUACAAAAUCCUUUGUUUAAAUAUCUUAUUACACUUGAUAAAAAAUCAAACUUACUAGUAAAGCCUUUGUCACAUACUUGUACAAGGGAUUGGCCCAUAAGGGUGCUGUGGGUUUUUGGAUCUUGCAGGAUUGUUAAGGAUGGUACAGAUGAGUUGCUGCAUCUUAAGGGGAGUUCUCUUGUGGCUCUUACGUCCACCCGAAGGGACAUCACGAAAAGGGAAUGUACGAUUGUCAUAACUGCAAAGUCUUUGUAAGGCUAACGGACAUUGCUUGCACUUGUGAUAUAUGGGUGGUGAUGGCGCAUGGUGUCCUUACGCCAUUAGUAAUUAGUGAAGCCCAUCGAGAUGACUGUUGUUGUGAAUUUGGGCUAUACAAAUAAAAUUGAAUUGAAUUGAAUAGUAAUGCAAUAAUCACAACUGCCCCUACAGUUUGAUAUGGGAUGUCUGCGGACAAAAAUGGACCAACUUGUUUGGGACAACCAAGAAGCCCGUACUUAUCACGUCAACAGAACUUCUGGGCCCCCUUAAACAAUCCACAGGAUUUGGAGGGGGGUUUAAAAAAAUGAAAGAUCUGUACCAUGUGCCUGCGUCUUACCUACUUUACCUUCACUUACACUCAGGUGUUGUUUUAGUGUUAACUACAACCUGUUGCCCAAAGCACACCCGUAGGGUAAAAUGUGAAUGAACAAUUUUGCUCUAUGGGCUCCUUGACAUUUUGUGCAGACUACCUGCGUGUCCUGUAGAGGUUUGCCCAUUUUUUUGCCCACAGACAGCUCAUUUCCACACAUAAGGGCAGUUGUGACCAAAACUUUUCAGCAAAAUGCAAUUACUAGUUUUAACCCUUUUGCUAUCCUAGGCACUUUAACAUUGGGAGUUGGGUCAUCUAGACCCACAAGACA